rnacentral:rRNA from 1 species
AUACGGAGGAUCCGAGCGUUAUCCGGAUUUAUUGGGUUUAAAGGGUGCGCAGGCGGCCAUUUAAGUCAGCGGUUAAAUCGUGGGGCUCAACCCCAUUCUGCCGUUGAUACUGGGUGGCUUGAUUGCGGUCGAGGUUGGCGGAAUUCGUUGUGUAGCGGUGAAAUGCAUAGAUAUGACGAAGAACACCGAUUGCGUAGGCAGCUGACCAGACCGCAAAUGACGCUCAUGCACGAAAGUGCGGGGAUCGAACAGGAAUAGCGACCCUGGUAGUCCGCACAUUAAACGAUGAAUACUGGUUUUCGGCGAGAUAAUGUCGGAGGAAAAGCGAAAGCGAUAAGUAUUCCACCUGGGGAGUAAGCCGGCAACGGUGAAACUCAAAUGAAUUGACGGGG